GCUGCAAGCUCUGCCCUGCACGCUGUUACAGCCACGGCAGGGAGCAGGCCCAGGAGGAAGGAGGAGCCGCUUUGCCUUGAGCUUCCAUAGGGAAAACUUAUUCGAGGUGGAGAGAGCAGGAUAAAGAAGAGCCCCUCACCCUCGUUUGCAAGGGGUUUUGCUCAGAUCCAAGUCAGGCUUUGGGUGCAAACAGAGAAGCAACAGGGAAUCCUCAGGGCAGGAGUGAGGGGAUUACAUCAACACUGUGGGACCAUCAGGAUGGGGGGAGCAGCGGGAAAGGCACAGGGGCCAAUGGGGCAUCCUGGAUUAGGGGAUUUCCAAGGGAGGGUUUCAGUCAGCGGCUGGCCCAGGGUCUGAGUGGCAGGGAACAUUCAGGAAAAAGGGGCAGGGUUAACUGGACAGGCAGGGAAGGGACUGGCACAAAGGGAGGAGAAUAACUUGAGGGACACCUUCAAAGGGAGUGUACAACAUAGGGAAAAAACCAACUUGGAGAAAACAUGUGAAGACAACAGAUUGUGCCACUUAACAAUAACGUAAUGAAAUAAUCACAAACUGCAACAGGUUCCUGUGUGCUCCACUGCUGUUGGGGUUCCGGGGUGGCCCUUUGUGACGCAGCACAUGGUGUCAUGGCCCUUUGUGAUGUGGGACGUGGUGGUGGCCAGAGACUCUUGUGACAUCAGGGAGCUUUGCCAGGGCUGAGGAUCUCCAAGGGGUGCGGAGCCCUGGGGUGCCCAGUCCCAGGAGAGCCGCUCUCUGAGGAGGAAGCAGCUCCCUGGCUCUGUCUGCGCCUGACGCUGACAGCGAUAGUUAUUGGACCUACGGACAGUGACAGACAACGACAGCGAGGAGGACAAAGCCACCUCCACCUCCCGGUCCCACAGCUCCUUGCCCAGCUGGCUGGAAGCCACCAGCAAGCAGUGGUCAGGGGCAGUGGGCAGCUCAAUCCUGUCGUUGUCACAGACUGAGAAGGAAGAGAGGAUCUUGGCCAAAAUGGGCCAAAAGCUUUCCCGGAGGGAAGGUGUGAAAGACACCCAAAAGAGGGAUGUUCCAGGAGCCGAAGAAAUGUCCCAGCAAGGAGACAGGAGCAGCCAAGAGCUGUACCAAGGCCAGAGUCCCACGGAGGCCGAGCCGGCAGCUGCUGCCCCAGCUGGAGAUGCUGAGGAGGAGGAGGAGCCAGGGUCGGCAGUGGCAGAGCUGGCACAGGAAGGUCGCCUGGAGGACUGGAUUUGGGACAGUUUCUCAGAAUCCAGCAGUGAGGAAGAGAGCCCGGUGCCUUCCCCGCACAGCCCCCCCGGCCCCUUGUCUGCCCUGCCGGGAGCCCCAGCCCCCAGGGAAGAGCCGGGCUGGGCAGUGGCAGAGCUGGCACAGGAUGACAGCCUGGAGGCCUGGGUUUGGGGAAGUCUCUGGGAAUCCGACAGUGAGGAAGAG
rnacentral:lncRNA from 1 species